rnacentral:rRNA from 1 species
ACAGCAGCAGCCUCGGUAAUACAGAGGGUGCGAGCGUUAAUCGGAUUUACUGGGCGUAAAGCGUGCGUAGGCGGCUUCUUAAGUCGGAUGUGAAAUCCCUGAGCUUAACUUAGGAAUUGCAUUCGAUACUGGGAAGCUAGAGUAUGGGAGAGGAUGGUAGAAUUCCAGGUGUAGCGGUGAAAUGCGUAGAGAUCUGGAGGAAUACCGAUGGCGAAGGCAGCCAUCUGGCCUAAUACUGACGCUGAGGUACGAAAGCAUGGGGAGCAAACAGGAUUAGAUACCCCUGUAGUCCCUGUCUCUUAUAC